rnacentral:lncRNA from 1 species
UGUGUGUGUGUGUGUAUGUGUGUGAAUGCAUUUAUGUAUGUAUGUAUGUGUUUAUGUAUGUAUAGCCACAACUAUCUAUUAAAACACAGCUGAUAUAACCAUUAUAAGACAAGUGUACAAUACUGUUUACUCCAGAAAUAUUAAUGUAUGCAAAUAUACUGUAUAGUCCCAUAAUA